rnacentral:rRNA from 1 species
UGAAUACGAGACGCUAAGGCGUCGAAGUAGUGUAUGUCAUACUUCCAAGAAAAGCUUGCACUGUCAUAGAUAAAAAACGCCUGUACCAUAACCGACACAGGUGGGUAGGUAGAGUAUACUAAGGGGCGCGAGAUAACUCUCUCUAAGGAACUCGGCAAAAUAACUCCGUAACUUCGGGAGAAGGAGUGCCUUAUUCGUAAGGUUGCAAUAACAAGAUCCAAGCAACUGUUUAUCAAAAACACAGGUCUCCGCUAAGUCGUAAGACGAUGUAUGGGGGCUGACGCCUGCCCAGUGCCAGAAGGUUAAAGAAGUUGGUUAGCAAUUGCGAAGCUGAUAACUGAAGCCCUGGUGAACGGCGGCCGUAACUAUAACGGUCCUAAGGUAGCGAAAUUCCUUGUCGGGUAAGUUCCGACCCGCACGAAAGGCGUAAUGAUUUGGAUACUGUCUCGGAGAGGGGCUCGGUGAAAUAGACUUGUCUGUGAAGAUGCGGACUACCUGCACCAGGACAGAAAGACCCUAUGAAGCUUUACUGUAACUUGAAAUUGAAAUUGGACUUUAUUCGCGCAGUAUAGGUGGGAGGCGUUGAUUAUAAUCUUGUGGGAUUAUUGGAGCCAUCAGUGAGAUACCACUCUUGUAAUGUUAGAUUUCUAACUUUGAAUCAUUAUCUGGUCAAAGAACAGUUUCAGGCGGGCAGUUUGACUGGGGCGGUCGCCUCCUAAACGGUAACGGAGGCGUACAAAGGUUUCCUCUGAACGGUUAGAAAUCGUAUCUAGAGUGUAAAGGCAUAAGGAAGCUUGACUGUGAGACCUACAAGUCGAGCAGGGACGAAAGUCGGUCUUAGUGAUCUGACGGUACUGAGUGGAAAGGCCGUCACUCAACGGAUAAAAGUUACUCUAAGGAUAACAGGCUGAUCUCCCCCAAGAGUUCACAUCGACGGGGAGGUUUGGCACCUGAUGUCGGCUCAUCGCAUCCUGGGGCGGUAGUACGUCCCAAGGGUUGGGCUGUUCGCCCAUGAAAGCGGUACGCGAGCUGGGUUCAGAACGUCGUGAGACAGUUCGGUCCAUAUCCGGUGUAGGCGUUAGAAUAUUGAGAGGAGCCUUCUUUAGUACGAGAGGACCGAGAAGGACAUACCUCUGGUGUACCAGUUAUCGUGCCAACGGUAAACGCUGGGUAGCUAUGUAUGGAGUGGAUAACCGCUGAAAGCAUCUAAGUGGGAAGCCCACCUCAAGAUAAGUAUUCUCAUC